GAAGAGUUUGAGAAUGAAGUUAGUUACCGGAAAAAAAAAUACUAUCCAGCACGUCAAGAUAGUAGAUAUGCCAAAAUCUGAAAAUAAAAAUUUCAUUUCUUAUAUGACUCCUGGUAAUCAAAAUGACUAGACACAUUAUAAAAAUGUGUGGUGGCUUAAUAAGUCAAAUGUCUCAGAGAAAAUAUAAGAUUUUAGUAAGAGAGAGAAAAUAUUGUCCCAAAAGGAUAGCACAAAAUAUAGAUUACCAGAAAGGAUAGUAACAGAUUAGCAGUUCAAGAAAUAAUGAUUGUGUUGGCAUUGUAGUAGGUGCUGUGAGCAUAUCACUGGAAAUACAGCACCCUCCCUGCUCUCAAGGAACUUCCUCUUCAGAGAUAGUCAACAAGCAAGUCAACAAAUAGAUAAAUAAGAUAAAUGUUAUUUAUGAGUAAAUAAUCAGAGUUAUAGGAGAGAGAGUGAGAAGAGAGAUGAUUUGGACAGAUUGGUAAAGAAAAGACUGUGUGAACAUGUGACAUUUGAGCUCACAUCUGGAGUUUGAGAGAAAACAGACCACAUAAUGAGAAAAGGAGGAAGAUGGUUUCAGGUAGAGAGAUUGGUAAGCACAGGCCCUGCGAGCUGAGAAAAGUCUUCACGUCUUCAAGGUAAUUUUCUCCCAUGGAGCAUAUAAAAGAAAAUAAGAAGUAAAGUGUUGAAAAUAACUGUAAACUAUAAAGUAUAUAAAGAAGAAAGAUUUAAGUCAAAAAUUUAAAGAGAAAACUCCUAGUAUUUACUUAAGGAACAUACGGUCAGUGUGCCAGGUCCAGGAAGAAAAAGUGAUAUUUCCUCUGAAAUCAGGCUUGGAAGACAAUUCUCCUGUGGUGAUAGAUGAAGAAAUAUACUCAAUGUUUCUACUGUAUCAGUCAGGACUCUUAGUUUUAAUCCUUGAAAAUUACUCUGGCUAAUUUAAAGAGAUAUUAGCAAUUCUCCAAAUCUCUGGGAGGGCCAGGGAAACUAGCUUAAAGGCUCGGCAGCCAGGACCUGUACCAGCAUGGGAGCACACUUUGGAGACCCCACAGCAUGGGAUUCAAAGAGAGGCAAUUCAUAUACCCGGGAAGCCACCAAUGGGUUCAUUGCCAUCUGUCUUUCUGCCAUAUUCUGCCAUCUUCACCAGGAAAUGAAUUAUUCAUAGUGCCUUCUCUACUCCAAGUCAAAAUCUCACAAAGCCACAUCUUAUUUAUUAAGUCUAGGUCACAUAACAGACUUCCUUUUCUUUUUUUUUUUUUUGUUUGGUAAAAGUGGUACUUACAACAUGGUAAAUUCCCUAAAAAAACCCCCUCUGUUUAAAAGUGGUUGAGUGCCAUAAAGAUAAUACAUGUUCACUAUACAACUGUGGGAGAUUUCCAAAACAGCUACACAUUCUUCCUUCCUUUACAAAUACUCGGGCCUUUACAAUGUGAGUGUUGCAGCUCUUCCCAUCAAAACAUAGUCUCUCUUCCUGAACCAUGAAUUUGGCAGAUGUUGUGACCUGUUUGAACAACUCAAUGAGGUAGAAAUGAUACUGUGCUGGUUGCCAGCCUGCGCCUCAGAGGCCGUCUGCUCUUCUGCUGUUCCUCUGAGAGCCCUGCUGCACCCGUGAGAACAAUUCCAGGCUAACAUACUGAAGAAUGCAGUUCAAGUGAAGGAGACAGUGUCGUCCCAGCCAAGGCACAAACACAGGGGAGCAAGCAAGACCCCCCCCGCCAGGCAACCUGCAGUUGACCACAGAUGCAUGAGUAAGCUCCAUCAAACAUGCAACUGGGCUAUGCCAGAAGAACAACUCCACCAACUUGCAAAACUUAUCUGCUUAAUGUUGUAAGCUACUAAAAUGUGGGGUGGUUUGUAUGCAGCAAAUAUCUGACAAAUUUACAAAAAAGUCAUUCUCACAAGCAUUUUUGUGCAUAACCAGCUUCACGUACAUGAAAUUCUUUUGGAAGGUAGGUGUGGGUGAGGUGAACUUUUUAGACCACACUACAACCAAUUUGUAUGACUUCAAGUGCUCCAGUGGCACUCUGCACAGAGGGGCUUAUCGUUCCACUGUGCACAUGAUUGCCUUGAGGGAUAGCCAAAAAGGGAUUUUCUUCAUAUGGCUUCAAGUUACUCUAAUGCCAAUAUAGCUUUUAUCACAGCCUGCCAAUGUAAAUAGAUAUAUUUAUUUCCUAUUCUCAUUUAACUACACAUAUUGUGAAUUGCAGUGUUAUUUUCUUAUCUGAAUAGCCCCUCAAUAGCUGUUUAUUAUAAUAUUUGCCAUAUAGUCACCUCCCUCUGACAGCAGGGUAAUACAGCUUAAUGAAAUAUUUGUAAAGCCCAAUGAACUGCACAGAAGAAAUAUGCUUUUAAGUUCUAAAUUAUGUUUCUCACUAACACCAUUAAUAACAUAUUCUCCUCAUAUCUGUGUAGCUUGUGACUUUACUCAACCAACCACACACGUUGUAGUCACACCAAAUGAAAUGUUAGGUCUGUGAAUGAUUCUCAUGCAAACAAAUUGUUGAGGCAUGACACAUUGUUGAAGCUGUGCUCAACCAGUUUGGGAAUUAAUAGAGAGAAGAUUGCAAAUUGCUGAAACCUUUUCUAGUAAUAUUUCUUGUCUCUAUGAUGAUCAUCAUACUUCAACACCUUUUUUUCCCCUGGAAAUGUUUAGACAUUAUUAUUUAAUUGCAUCUCAUUAUUAAUUAAAGUAUCUCUAAAUUUUCCUCAGACUCUGUCGUAUCUGAGACCAUGCUGUGCCAACGAAUCAUACAUUGUUAAAGUUAAAAGGAACUUUUAAGGUAAUAC
rnacentral:lncRNA from 10 species